GACGAACGCUGGCGGCGUGCUUAACACAUGCAAGUCGAACGGUGAAGCGCCUUCCUUUUUGGUGGGUGUGGAUGAGUGGCGAACGGGUGAGUAACACGUGAGAAACCUGCCCCCUUCUUCUGGAUAACCGCAUGAAAGUGUGGCUAAUACGGGAUAUUCUGGGUCUGUCGCAUGAUGGGUCUGGGAAAGAUAUUGUUUCGGUGGGGGAUGGGCUCGCGGCCUAUCAGCUUGUUGGUGGGGUGAUGGCCUACCAAGGCGGUGACGGGUAGCCGGCCUGGGAGGGUGGACGGUCACACUGGGACUGAGACACGGCGCAGACUCCUACGGGAGGCAGCAGUGGGGAAUAUUGCACAAUGGGCGCAAGCCUGAUGCAGCGACGCCGCGUGAGGGAUGGAGGCCUUCGGGUUGUGAACCUCUUUCGCCAGUGAAGCAGGCCUGCCUCGUUUGUGGGUGGGUUGACGGUAGCUGGAUAAGAAGCGCCGGCUAACUACGUG
rnacentral:rRNA from 1 species